UACGGAGGAUGCAAGCGUUAUCCGGAAUGAUUGGGCGUAAAGCGUCCGCAGGUGGCUGUGUAAGUCUGCUGUCAAAGAGCGAAGCUCAACUUCGUAAAGGCAGUGGAAACUACACGGCUAGAGUGCGUUCGGGGCAGAGGGAAUUCCUGGUGUAGCGGUGAAAUGCAUAGAGAUCAGGAAGAACACCGGUGGCGAAGGCGCUCUGCUAGGCCGCAACUGACACUGAGGGACGAAAGCUAGGGGAGCGAAUGGG
rnacentral:rRNA from 1 species